UACGUAGGUGGCAAGCGUUGUUCGGAUUUACUGGGCGUAAAGCGCGCGUAGGCGGAUCGCUAAGUCAGGGGUGAAAUCCCAGGGCUCAACCCUGGAACUGCCUUUGAUACUGACGGUCUGGAGAUCGGGAGAGGUUGGUGGAAUUCCGAGUGUAGAGGUGAAAUUCGUAGAUAUUCGGAGGAACACCAGAAGCGAAGGCGGCCAACUGGCCCGAUACUGACGGCUGAGG
rnacentral:rRNA from 1 species